rnacentral:rRNA from 1 species
UAGGGAAUCUUCCGCAAUGGGCGAAAGCCUGACGGAGCAACGCCGCGUGAGUGAUGAAGGUCUUCGGAUCGUAAAACUCUGUUAUUAGGGAAGAACAAAUGUGUAAGUAACUAUGCACGUCUUGACGGUACCUAAUCAGAAAGCCACGGCUAACUACGUGCCAGCAGCCGCGGUAAUACGUAGGUGGCAAGCGUUAUCCGGAAUUAUUGGGCGUAAAGCGCGCGUAGGCGGUUUUUUAAGUCUGAUGUGAAAGCGCACGGCUCAACCGUGCAGGGUCAUUGGAAACUGGAAAACUUGAGUGCAGAAGAGGAAAGUGGAAUUCCAUGUGUAGCGGUGAAGAGCGCAGAGAUAUGGAGGAACACCAGUGGCGAAGGCGACUAUCUGGUCUGUAAUUGACGCUGAUGUGCGAAAGCGUGGGGAUCAAACAGG